CAGAGGGUGCAAGCGUUAAUCGGAAUUACUGGGCGUAAAGCGAGCGUAGUCGGUUAUUUAAGUCGGAUGUGAAAUCCCCGGGCUCAACCUGGGAAUUGCAUUCGAAACUGGAUAGCUAGAGUUCGGCAGAGGGAAGCGGAAUUUCUGGUGUAGCGGUGAAAUGCGUAGAUAUCAGAAGGAACAUCAGUGGCGAAAGCGGCUUCCUGGACCAGAACUGACGAUCAGGCUCGAGAGCGUGGGGAGCAAACAGGAUUAGAUACCCUGGUAGUCCACGCCAUAAACGACGACAACUAGACGUUGGGGACAUAUGGUCCACAGUGUCGCAGCUAACGCGUUAAGUUGUCCGCCUGGGGAGUACGGCCGCAAGGUUG
rnacentral:rRNA from 1 species